UACGGAGGAUGCAAGCGUUAUCCGGAAUGAUUGGGCGUAAAGCGUCCGCAGGUGGCUGUGUAAGUCUGCUGUUAAAGAGUCUGGCUCAACCAGAUAAAGGCAGUGGAAACUACAUGGCUAGAGUGCGUUCGGGGCAGAGGGAAUUCCUGGUGUAGCGGUGAAAUGCGUAGAUAUCAGGAAGAACACCGGUGGCGAAAGCGGGCUGCUAGGCCGCAACUGACACUGAGGCACGAAAGCUAGGGGAGCGAACGGG
rnacentral:rRNA from 1 species